rnacentral:rRNA from 1 species
UACGUAGGGGGCAAGCGUUGUCCGGAAUCAUUGGGCGUAAAGAGCGUGUAGGCGGCCCGAUAAGUCCGCUGUGAAAGUCCAGGGCUCAACCCUGGGAUGCCGGUGGAUACUGUCGGGCUCGAGUCCGGAAGAGGAGUGUGGAAUUCCUGGUGUAGCGGUGAAAUGCGCAGAUAUCAGGAGGAACACCGGUGGCGAAGGCGGCUUGCUGGGCCUUACCUGACGCUGAGGAGCGAAAGCUAGGGGAGCAAACGGG